AUUGAACGCUGGCGGCAGGCCUAACACAUGCAAGUCGAGUGGUUGAGGUAGCUUGCUACCGAUGCAGCGGCGAACGGGUGAGUAAUACAUGGGAAUCUGCCUGGUAGUGGGGGACAACGUCGCGAAAGGGACGCUAAUACCGCAUACGCCCUACGGGGGAAAGGGGGGGAUCUUCGGACCUCUAGCUAUCAGAUGAGCCCAUGUCAGAUUAGCUAGUUGGUGGGGUAAAGGCUCACCAAGGCGACGAUCUGUAACUGGUCUGAGAGGAUGAUCAGUCACACUGGAACUGAGACACGGUCCAGACUCCUACGGGAGGCAGCAGUGGGGAAUAUUGGACAAUGGGCGCAAGCCUGAUCCAGCCAUGCCGCGUGUGUGAAGAAGGCCUUAGGGUUGUAGAGCACUUUCAGUGGGGAGAAAGGUUAUUCACCUAAUACGUGAGUAAAUUGAUGUUACCCACAGAAGAAGCACCGUCUAACUCCGUGCCAGCCGCCGCAGUAA
rnacentral:rRNA from 1 species